GACGAACCGUGCGAACGUUGUUCGGAAUCACUGGGCUUAAAGGGCGCGUAGGCGGGCCGCCAAGUCUGUGGUGAAAUCCCCCGGCUCAACCGGGGAACGGCCGCGGACUACUGGAGGUCUCGAGGGAGGUAGGGGCAGUGCGGAACUACGGGUGGAGCGGUGAAAUGCGUUGAUAUCCGUAGGAACUCCGGUGGCGAAGGCGGCGUGCUGGACCUCGUUCUGAC
rnacentral:rRNA from 1 species